UGAUGAUGAUGAUGAUGAUGAUAAUGGAUGAUGAUGAUGAUGAUGAUGAUGAUCUUCAUCAUCAUCAUCAUCAUCCAUUAUCAUCAUCAUCAUCA
rnacentral:pre_miRNA from 1 species